CCCCCGAAAGGGAAUCGGGUUAAGAUUUCCUGAACCGGUAUGUGGCGGUUGAUGGCGACGUUAGGAAUUCCGGAGACGUCGGAGGGGGCCUCGGGGAGAGUUAUCUUUUCUGCUUAAUGACCUGCCAACCUUACAAACGGUUCAGACGGAGGUAGGGUCCAGUGGCCGGAAGAGCAUCACACGUCGUGCGGUGUCCGGUGCGCCCCGAGUGGCCUAUGAAAAUCCGGAGGACCGAGUACCGUACAAGCCCCGAUCGUACUCAUAACCGCAUCAGGUCUCCAAGGUGAACAUCCUCUGGCCAAUGGAACAAUGUAGGCA
rnacentral:ncRNA from 1 species